GACAAACGCUGGCGGGGUGCGUGAGACAUGCAAGUCGAACGAGGUGCUACCGAGCUUGCUUGGUAGUUACCUAGUGGCGGACGGCUGAGUAACGCGUAGGUGACCUGCCCGGAAGUGGGGAAUAACUGCCCGAAAGGGUGGCUAAUACCGCAUGUGGUCGGCGAUUCGAUUCGCCGUCUAAAGGAGUAAUCCGCUUCCGGAGGGGCCUGCGUUCGAUUAGCUAGUUGGUGAGGUAACGGCCCACCAAGGCGACGAUCGAUAGCUGGUCUGAGAGGAUGAUCAGCCAGACUGGGACUGAGACACGGCCCAGACACCUACGGGUGGCUG
rnacentral:rRNA from 1 species